rnacentral:piRNA from 1 species
UGCUACGUGUCGCUUUUCCCAGGAUCCCCC